AAUGAACGCUGGCGGCAUGCCUAACACAUGCAAGUCGAACGAAGGCUUCGGCCUUAGUGGCGCACGGGUGCGUAACGCGUGGGAAUCUGCCCUCAGGUUCGGAAUAACAGCGAGAAAUUGCUGCUAAUACCGGAUGAUCUCGUGAGAUCAAAGAUUUAUCGCCUGAGGAUGAGCCCGCGUAGGAUUAGCUAGUUGGUGUGGUAAAGGCGCACCAAGGCGACGAUCCUUAGCUGGUCUGAGAGGAUGAUCAGCCACACUGGGACUGAGACACGGCCCAGACUCCUACGGGAGGCAGCAGUGGGGAAUAUUGGACAAUGGGCGAAAGCCUGAUCCAGCAAUGCCGCGUGAGUGAUGAAGGCCUUAGGGUUGUAAAGCUCUUUUACCCGGGAUGAUAAUGACAGUACCGGGAGAAUAAGCUCCGGCUAACUCCGUGCCAGCAGCCGCCGUAA
rnacentral:rRNA from 1 species